rnacentral:pre_miRNA from 1 species
AGGGGGAGCGCCAGAUCCUGGGCUGUGUCCCCCGGCGCCCUGGGCUUGGGGCCUGCACCACUGGAAUCACGCUCCCGGGGCGGAGCAGCCCCCU